rnacentral:tRNA from 1 species
GCUGGAGUUGUGGCUCAGUGGUAGAGUACUUGCCUGGCAUGUGUGAGGCACUGGGUUCAAUCUUCAGCACAGCA